rnacentral:tRNA from 1 species
GUGGCUGUAGCUCAAUGGUAGAGCACUUGCCUGUGGAGCAAGGGGUUGGCGGUUCGAUCCCGCUCAGCCACC